AAUCUCAAACCAUAAAAAGAAAGCAAACGCUAGUCAACAACGUUGAAACUCUCCCUCCCAAAACAUCAAUUUUUCUCUCAAUUUUCCGAAAGAAAAAAGCAAUUUACUUUUUUUUUUUAUAUAUAUAAAUAUUCUCAAUUCGACUUUCCUCUCUGUCAAACUUCUACCCUUUUCUACAUUCAAGUGCGCGUGUUUUUUUUUUCCUUCGUACAAUGCCACAGGGCAAUUUAGAAACCCUUGUUUCCGCCUGUGCCGGUGGCUCUUGCGACAACAAAAUCAUUUGCGAGACUUUAGCAACCAGCGAAAGUGAUUCCGACGACCACCUCCACCCGGCGGAGAAACAUAUUGAAGAAGAAAUCCCAUCGGAUUUCCCGCCAGAAUCGUUUUGGUUAUCCAAAGACGCCGAGUUCGACUGGUUCGAUCGUAACGCUUUUUACGAACGGAAAGAUUCGCAUAAAGGAAACUCAGGUCCCAACUCUGCAAACCUCAACCCUAAUCUUAACUCGAUCUCCAAUUCUCAACGCUUUUCUCUUAGAAAGCCUAAAGCUUCCAUCAUCGGCUUACCGAAACCGCAGAAGUCUUGCUUUGUCGAAACGAAGAACAGGAAACCUGGGAACACUAGAUUGUUUCCUAAACGGCCUGGCUCAGUUAAAUCGGAUCGGCCAGUUGUUGAACCAUCUUCGCCUAAGGUUUCUUGUAUGGGAAGAGUGAGAUCGAAGCGUGACCGUAAUGGCCGGCUAAAAAGGAACAGCCAAAAAUCGACCGGAGUUGAAACAGUUAAAGAGAAAACGACGGGCAAAAGAAGCGGUUUAUUUUCAAGUUUUCGUGCUAUUUUCAGGUCCAGUGGGAAAGCAAGUGAAUCAGACGCGCUUCCAGUAGCCCCGUCGCCGCCAGGGAAUAGGGACAUUAGGUCUCGUUUGCCACCAGAUGAUCGUGACGCAAUAUCGAUAGAGCCUGAAAUUAUGGAGAGUGAACCGGUCAGUCUAGGUGGAAUGAAGCGGCUUGCAUCCGGUAGGAGAUCGGAGCCGUUAAUCUGAGGUGCGUGAUGACAGUUGUGGGGCACAGCUCAAGCGUUGUUUGGUCUGCGGUCGUGGUUGGGUAACUUGCGGGUCCCGCCUAUUUUUCAAAAUUCUCUUUCGUGGUGACGUCACACGAUGAUUGACUGUUUUGACAAAGUAAUGGAGCACACUUUUGUUUAAUGAAAAAAAAAAGUGUUAAAUAACAGCUAAAAAGAUUACACAAAAGCUUUGGGUUGAUGUUUUGAUUGCUAUGACUGAAUGCCAAAUACAGCCAUUUAUUUUAUACAAACACAGUUU